ACUCAAAUGAAUAGACGGGGGCCCGCACAAGCGGCGGAGCAUGUUGCUUAAUUCGACGCAACGCGAAGAACCUUACCAAGGUUUGACAUGGACGGAAAUCCUCCAGAGAUGGGGGGUCCUUCGGGGCCGUUCACAGGUGGUGCAUGGCUGUCGUCAGCUCGUGUCGUGAGAUGUUGGGUUAAGUCCCGCAACGAGCGCAACCCUCGUCCCAUGUUGCCAGCAGGUAAAGCUGGGGACUCAUGGGAGACUGCCGGGGUCAACUCGGAGGAAGGUGGGGAUGACGUCAAGUCAUCAUGCCCCUUAUGUCUUGGGCUGCAAACAUGCUACAAUGGCCGGUACAAAGGGCUGCGAGCCUGUGAGGGUGAGCGAAUCCCGGAAAGCCGGUCUCAGUUCGGAUCGGGGUCUGCAACUCGGCCCCGUGAAGCCGGAGUCGCUAGUAAUCGCGGAUCAGCAACGCCGCGGUGAAUACGUUCCCGGGCCUUGCACACACCGCCCGU
rnacentral:rRNA from 1 species